CACAAAUGGUGUUCCCUUCUUGAGAUCAUAUUGAUGAUCCAAGUAGCUCCCAUCCUUUGGAAUAAGCAAGCAAAUAAGUGUAUACUCAAGCAAUCAAUCAAGCAAGAAAAGCUCUUAGGAAUCUUCCAAUGGCUCUUGGAUCUCUCACUUUUGAUGCACAUGACAAUGGUUCUUCACUUUGGCUCAAAUAGGAAUCCCUAGCACAAGAACACACACAUCAAAAAGUUCUAUAAAUGUCAACAAGGAAUGGACAAGAAUGAGUUUAGAGAUUUGGU
rnacentral:lncRNA from 1 species